GAAAACAAAAUAAACAAGAAAGGAAUGGGAUUGUAUCUUUGGCUUCCAACCCUCCACAUUUUGUUCCCUCAGAAACUCCGCUUCCUCAAAGGCCUCGUCAGUGCCACCCUGCCGCCGCCCCCUGUGAGUCUAAGGGAAGUGAAAAUGAAAAACCUAAGACUUGUACAGCAGACAAGCUGCACUACAUCCUUGUUUUCACUUCCGAUUGGAAACUCGCUCUCU
rnacentral:misc_RNA from 1 species